CUACAUAUUGUGGGAAUAGGUACUCCAAGACGAAAGUUUGGAGUUUAAUAGGGAAAUCGGUUCAAUGCCGAUGCGGUCCCGCCACUGUAACAGCGGAGUUCUGCGCAGAAAGCCACGGGGUGUUAAAGCAACCUGGAAGGCGCGUAAAGAAUGAUGAAGCUGGAGCCAGGAGACCUGCCUGUUCUGACAGCACGAU
rnacentral:ncRNA from 1 species